GCCUGGGUGGCUCGGUUGGUUAAGCGUCUGACUUCGGCUCACGUCAUGAUCUCACAGUUCGUGGGUUCGAGCCCCACGUCAGGCU
rnacentral:tRNA from 1 species